AUAGGGUCAAGCUUGGAUUUUCUGACGUAGGCUGAUUUUCUGACUGCAGAUUGACAAUGCCGGAUUAGACAGUGUUGUGCUUCUGUCUAAUCCACUGUGACCGUUUGGCUGCAGAAAAUAAGGAACACACACAGGCAAUAUUCCAUUUAUAACUGCAGUCAAGAGGUCACAGACAGAGCCGGAUUAACCAUUAAGUCAACCCAGG